UUUUAAAAUAGACUACUGUGAUUGAAAUGAACUCAAUAUGUAGUAAGUUAUAGUUUUCUUCAAUAUAGCAUGGGUUACUUGGGCUGCAAAUAUUCCAUUUCAGCAUAGUUUAGGGUGAGUAAUCAGAAACAUGAAUUUUUCUUUGAUUCCCUAGUAGUGUCUGAACUAUCAUUAAAGCAUUCCUUUCUUCACAUGUGAUUUAAUUCUAGUCUGUUUCUAAAUGAUAUUUGUCCAUUUCUUAGAUGAGCUUAUAACUAUGGUAAUGAUAGAUCUGUGCUUAUUAAUCUACAAUGGUUUACUUAAUUAUAUUUAAGGACCCUUUAUUCCCAUGAUUUGAGUGUUCCUCUCUGGAAUAAAAUUUGAUAGUGAUUUCAGCUACUUCAGAUUUUCAAAACAAAACAUCCUUGGUCAAAUAUCUAUGAUGACUGAAACUGCCAAGUGAUACCAGAGGAAAUCCAUGAUUUCACUGAGAAAAUGAGAAGCUAUUAUUUGGCUGCUUGGGCUGUAAAUGAAAGGAAAAGACAUUCUAUUG
rnacentral:lncRNA from 1 species